GGGACAGGUUCUUGAACCUGCUGGAGUUCUGCUAACUUACCUGGAAAGUGAAGAAGAAAUAGCACCUACCUUGUGCACGGCUCACUUCCCACCAGGAGCCAGAAGACAGCAAUAACUGCACCAUCCCAAGGAAGCGCUGGGUUUAUCUUUCAUUUGGACAACUAGAGAACCCAGGAUGGCAGAAGAAGCAAAAAUAUCGAUUUUCCUUCAGUGUUUGUGUGCAGACCAUGAAAUUCCCUCCUUCACUCGCAGGCCUUCCUUGCUCUCUGCUCUGGCUUCUCACAGCCCAGCACAAGCCUCAGUGGACAGCCUAAGGACGGACCUAUGGAAGGCUGCUGUUUGACCUAGUGGUGAAGAUUCUGCUUGGGAUGCCUGCCUCCCAUACCAGAGUCCCUAGGUUCGAGUCCUGGCUCCCCCCUCCA